AAUAGUUCCUGGUCCAGAAAGCCAUGAGCCUUCCCUCAGGGAUGUACUACAUCUGCCAGCCCUGGUAGAUGUCUUUGACACCAAAGGGCAUCAAAAACAACAUUUGAAACUUCUGACUAGGCAACCGAAUUCAGUCCUCAUGGUGGGAUAUAUCUUAGGUACAUGGAGAAACAGUAAAAAUAUGAUGUCUAUACAAGCGACCUGGCAGAGGAACAUUCUGUUUCUGACCAUGAAUAUUGCUGGCUGAAUAAGGUCUAUGGUAAGAUUUCCAGAGGACCUGAAGAGUUGAAAGAGUAGCUCUGGUCACGAGGCUGAUCCAAGAUUCUGAGUGAGGCUGUUUCAGUCCUGAGGAAGGACUCCUGCACCUGGAAUCUGGUCUGUUUCUGACUGUUGUCCCAGGUGAUCCAAUAAAAGGUAUUGCUUCUCUCUCUAGAGGCUUAAC
rnacentral:lncRNA from 1 species